rnacentral:rRNA from 1 species
UACGUAGGGUGCGAGCGUUGUCCGGAAUUAUUGGGCGUAAAGAGCUCGUAGGCGGUUUGUCGCGUCUGCUGUGAAAACUGGAGGCUCAACCUCCAGCCUGCAGUGGGUACGGGCAGACUAGAGUGCGGUAGGGGAGAUUGGAAUUCCUGGUGUAGCGGUGGAAUGCGCAGAUAUCAGGAGGAACACCGAUGGCGAAGGCAGAUCUCUGGGCCGUAACUGACGCUGAGGAGCGAAAGCAUGGGGAGCAAACAGG